rnacentral:rRNA from 1 species
UAGGGAAUCUUCGGCAAUGGACGAAAGUCUGACCGAGCAACGCCGCGUGAGUGAAGAAGGUUUUCGGAUCGUAAAACUCUGUUGUUAGAGAAGAACAAGGACGUUAGUAACUGAACGUCCCCUGACGGUAUCUAACCAGAAAGCCACGGCUAACUACGUGCCAGCAGCCGCGGUAAUACGUAGGUGGCAAGCGUUGUCCGGAUUUAUUGGGCGUAAAGCGAGCGCAGGCGGUUUCUUAAGUCUGAUGUGAAAGCCCCCGGCUCAACCGGGGGGGGUCAUUGGAAACUGGGAGGCUUGAGUGCGGAAGAGGAGAGUGGAAUUCCAUGUGUAGCGGUGAAAUGCGUAGAUAUAUGGAGGAACACCAGUGGCGAAGGCGGCUCUCUGGUCUGUAACUGACGCUGAGGCUCGAAAGCGUGGGGAGCAAACAGG